ACCAUCACCACCACAACCACCACCUCCAUAUUCUUCACUCUGUCUAUCCCUUCCCUUCAUCCUUCAUUCUUUCCUUCAUUUGCUCUCCACCACCACUACCACCACCACCACUACCACCGCCACCACCACCACCACCACAUAACCUUGAAAAAGUCUCAUACUCUUUAUCAGUGCAAGCCAAUCAAUCAGCAUUAGAAUCGAUAACCAUUGCAUUUAAAAGGUGAAGGUCAGACUGAAGAAUACUUGUAUCCAGGAAUGAUACGACUUAGCUUUUAAACUUGUGAUAUGUUGAUGCUUUUUCUUAAUUUCGAUGUAUAGAAGUAUCUCGCUCUUUACGCUCUACGUUCUGUACAUUCUUUUCUGCUUUAUAUUUUUUCUUUACUCUUUCUUGUCUUUGUUUGUUGUGCCGUAUAGCUAUUUCCAUUGACGUAAAGAAAAGACAGACAGAGAAACAUCACAAACCACACCAAACCAAGCGUCAAUUUUGAUAGAUAAUAGUAGAUAUAUUUGUAGUACCCUCAUGCUUACUACUACUACUACUACUACUACUACUACUACUACAAUUCGACCAUUUUAUCACACUUGAGUACAAUGGCCUAGGCAAGGUUAGGAAAGGUCAGGGAUGUACAUAAAAAUAGAGUAUUAUGACCUGAACUUCCUGUCUCUCCCCCUCUGUCUCUCAUGGUGACCUCAAACGACCUUCCUAUCACUCCUCCUCCUCCUCCUCCUCCUCCUCCCCAUGAUAGCAGACCUCCUUUAGUGCUCUUCAGACUUCUUUUCCUCAUUCUACCUUCCUUCUUGCCUCUCCAUCCCUCCCUCCAUCCCUCCCUCCCUCCGUCCCCAACACUCCAUAACCACCUGAGACGAGAUAAUGACGGCGUUUCUCUCAUCCUCACAGAGUUGCGCAUAUCACCACAGCGUUUCUCGAGUACCUACGGGCAGUUGGUUCGGUAUCAUCAGGCGUUUUCACCUCUCACAUCAACUCUUUUCAACGGCCAAAAGGGAGAUUGAUUGGGUCCUUACGAGUGUUGUUUUGGGUCCAUGGUACAGAGGAAGGGUUAAACUACCUCUAGAAAUGUCUUUAACUCCUACGAAAGUCAAAGAGGAGAUCCUAGUGAGUGGUCUUUUAGGUUCGUGGUACAGAGGAAGGGUUAGACUACCACCGGGGUCAUAGAACUAUCGCUGGAUUCUAAUGAGUGUUCUAUAAUGUUCACGGUACAGAGGAAGGGUUAGACUACCACCAGGGUCAUAGAACUAUCGCUGGAUUCUAAUGAGUGUUCUAUUAGGUUCACGGUACAGAGGAAGGGUUAGACUACCACCGGGGUCAUAGAACUAUCGCUGGAUUCUAAUGAGUGUUCUAUUAGGUUCGUGGUACAGAGGAAGGGUUAGACUACCACCAGGGUCAUAGAACUAUCGCUGGAUUCUAAUGAGUGUUCUAUUAGGUUCGUGGUACAGAGGAAGGGUUAGACUACCACCGGGGUCAUAGAACUAUCGCUGGAUUCUAAUGAGUGUUCUAUUAGGUUCGUGGUACAGAGGAAGGGUUAGACUACCACCGGGGUCAUAGAACUAUCGCUGGAUUCUAAUGAGUGUUCUAUUAGGUUCGUGGUACAGAGGAAGGGUUAGACUACCACCAGGGUCAUAGAACUAUCGCUGGAUUCUAAUGAGUGUUCUAUUAGGUUCGUGGUACAGAGGAAGGGUUAGACUACCACCGGGGUCAUAGAACUAUCGCUGGAUUCUAAUGAGUGUUCUAUUAGGUUCGUGGUACAGAGGAAGGGUUAGACUACCACCGGGGUCAUAGAACUAUCGCUGGAUUCUAAUGAGUGUUCUAUUAGGUUCGUGGUACAGAGGAAGGGUCACACUACCACCAGGCUCAUAAAGCUACCGCUGUGCCCAGAACUCCUACGAAAGCACAAAAAAAGGAGAUUAAUCGAUUAAUGGAUUAAUGGAGGAAGGGAGAAAGGAAGGAAGGGAAGAAGGAUGGAGGGGAAGAGGGGCGAAACAGACAAAAAUAAAGAAACAAAAACACGAAACAGACAAAAAUAAAGAAAAAAACACGAAACAGACAAAAAUAAAGAAAAAAAACACGAAACAGACAAAAAUAAAGAAAAAAAACACGAAACAGACAAAAAUAAAGAAAAAAAACACGAAACAGACAAAAUAAAGAAAAAAACACGAAACAGACAAAAAUAAAGAAAAAAAACACGAAACAGACAAAAAUAAAGAAAAAAAACACGAAACAGACAAAAAUAAAGAAAAAAAACACGAAACAGACAAAAAUAAAGAAAAAAAACACGAAACAGACAAAAAUAAAGAAAAAAAACACGAAACAGACAAAAAUAAAGAAAAAAAAACACGAAACAGACAAAAAUAAAGAAAAAAAACACGAAACAGACAAAAAUAAAGAAAAAAAACACGAAACAGACAAAAAUAAAGAAAAAAAACACGAAACAGACAAAAAUAAAGAAAAAAAACACGAAACAGACAAAAAUAAAGAAAA